rnacentral:lncRNA from 1 species
CCUCCACAGCCCUGGUUCCGGGGGCCCAGAGAGGAUGCUACGGGAAGGAGAUAAACCGGUGUGGCCAAGUAAGCGCCACAAGCGCAGGGCAGGCGAAGGGUAAGCGGGGAGGAAACCACCUGGGAGGGCCCCUGUCGGCCGGCCAUUGGUCGGUGUUCAGACGGACGGUUCCUCCCGCCCCACGUGGAUAGCCUCUAUCGAGGGAGCCCCUGUCGAAGACGGCCUCCCGUCUUAUUGACAAGCUUCAACCGCGCCCCGUUCGAGCGAGAUAAAGAGGGAGAGGGAGUGGACAUUUUCUCCUUGAGAGGGGACUCCGGAUGGGAAAGAGAGAGAGAGAAGGGCCUUCCCAUUUUGAUAGGUGAUUUCUCCUUAGUAGGAGAUAGAGAGAGUGGCCUCCCACAUCGAGAGGUGUUUUCUCCCUAGUAGGAGAUAUAGAGAAUAGCUAUUCACCUUACAUAUGAUUUCCCCCGAGUAGGGGAUAGAGAGAAUGGCCUUUUCACCUUGACAGGUGUUUUCUCCUUAGUAGGAGACAUAGAGAAUAGCUAUUCACCUGACUUAUGAGGUAUCCUAGUAGGGGAUGGAGAGAAUGGCCUACUCACAUUGACAGGGUUUCUCCUUAGUAGGAGACAUAGAGAAUAGCUAUCCAUCUGACUUAUGAGGUAUCCUAGUAGGGGAUGGAGAGAAUGGCCUACUCACAUUGACGGUGUUUUCUCCUUAGUAGGAGACAUAGAGAAUAGCUAUUCACCUGACUUAUGAGGUAUCCUAGUAGGGGAUGGAGAGAAUGGCCUACUCACAUUGACGGUGUUUCUCCCUAGUAGGAGACAUAGAGAAUAGCUAUUCACCUGACACAUGAUUUCUCCUUAGUAGGAGAUAGAGAGGAUGGCCUACACACAUUGACAGGUGUUUUCUCCUUAGUAGGAGAUAUAGAGAACAGCUAUUCACCUGACAUAUGAGCUCUCCCUAAUAGGAGAUAGAGAGGAGGGCCUUCUCACCUAGAGAGGUGUUUUCUCCUUGGUAGGAGAUAUAGAGAAUAGCUAUCCACCCGACUUAGGAGGUAUCCUAGUAGGGGAUGGAGAGAUGGCCUACUCACAUUGACAGGUAUUUUCUCCUCAGUAGGAGAUAUAGAGAAUAGCUAUACAGUGGGCGUUUCCGGACACCGACAGGGCAUACGAUCAGGACCCUCCACAGCCCUGGCUCCGGGGGCCCGGGGAGGAAGCUACGGGAAGGAGAUAAACCGGUGUGGCCAAGUAAGCGCCACAAGCGCAGGGCAGGCGAAGGGUAAGCGGGGAGGAAACCACCUGGGAGGGCCCCUGUCGGCCGGCCAUUGGUCGGUGUUCAGACGGACGGUUCCUCCCGCCCCACGUGGAUAGCCUCUAUCGAGGG